GUAGGGAAUAUUGGGCAAUGGGUGCAAGCCUGACCCAGCCAUCCCGCGUGCCGGAUGAAGGCCCUCUGGGUCGUAAACGGCUUUUGACGGUGAAGAACCGAAAGGGUGCGCCCUUUUUUGACGGUAGCCGUUGAAUAAGCACCGGCUAACUCCGUGCCAGCUGCCGCGGUAAUACGGAGGGUGCGAGCGUUGUCCGGAUUUAUUGGGUUUAAAGGGUGCGUAGGCUGGAGGGACAGUCAGCGGUGAAAAGCAGUUGCUCAACAAUUGUCUUGCCGCAGAUACUACCUUUCUUGGAUUGGGAGGAGGUUACCGGAACGGAUGGUGUAGCGGUGAAAUGCAUAGAUAUCAUCCAGAACGCCAAUUGCGAAGGCAGGUAACUGUACCUAUAUCGACGCUGAUGCACGAAAGCAUGGGUAGCGAACAGGAUUGGAUACCCUGGUAGUCC
rnacentral:rRNA from 1 species